rnacentral:tRNA from 3 species
GCCGUUGUAGCUCAGUCGGUAGAGCAAUUGAUUCGUAAUCAAUAGGUCCGCGGUUCGAUUCCGCGCAACGGCAUCA